rnacentral:rRNA from 1 species
AUGAACGCUGCGGCGUGCCUAACACAUGCAAGUCGAACGAAGCAUCCACCCGCAGACAGAACCAGCUUGCUGGGAAGGAAGCAUAUGGGAUGACUGAGUGGCGGACGGGUGAGUAACGCGUGGGUAACCUGCCCCAUAGAGGGGGACGAACAGCUGGAAACGGCUGCUAAUACCGCAUGGGAAAGCGGGACCGCAUGGUCCUGUUUUUGAAAGAUUUAUCGCUAUGGGAUGGACCCGCGUCUGAUUAGCUGGUUGGUAAGGUAACGGCUUACCAAGGCGACGAUCAGUAGCCGGCUUGAGAGAGUGAACGGCCACAUUGGGACUGAGACACGGCCCAGACUCCUACGGGAGGCAGCAGUGGGGAAUAUUGCACAAUGGGGGGAACCCUGAUGCAGCGACGCCGCGUGAGUGAAGAAGUAUUUCGGUAUGUAAAACUCUAUCAGCAGGGAAGAUAAUGACGGUACCUGACUAAGAAGCCCCGGCUAACUACGUG